GAUGAACGCUGACAGAAUGCUUAACACAUGCAAGUCGAUUCGAUUUACCUUCGGGUAUUGAGGAUGGCGGACGGGUGAGUAACGCGUAAGGAACUUGCCUCUUGGUCUGGGACAACUGUUGGAAACGACAGCUAAUACCGGAUAUUAUGAGAUUCUCGCAUGGGAAACUUAUGAAAGCUAUAUGCGCCAAGAGAGAGCCUUGCGUUCCAUUAGCUAGUUGGUGGGGUAACGGCCCACCAAGGCGACGAUGGAUAGCCGGCCUGAGAGGGUGAACGGCCACAAGGGGACUGAGACACGGCCCUUACUCCUACGGGAGGCAGCAGUGGGGAAUAUUGGACAAUGGGCCACAAGCCUGAUCCAGCAAUUCUGUGUGCACGAUGAAGGUCUUCGGAUUGUAAAGUGCUUUCAGUUGGGAAGAAGAAAGUGACGGUACCAACAGAAGAAGCGACGGCUAAAUACNUGCCAGCAGCCGCGGUAAUACGUAUGUCGCAAGCGUUAUCCGGAUUUAUUGGGCGUAAAGCGCGUCUAGGCGGAAAAAUAANUCUGAUGUUAAAAUGCGGGGCUCAACUCCGUAUUGCNUUGGAAACUGUUUUUCUAGA
rnacentral:rRNA from 1 species